GACUAGUAGAGUGGCGCACGGGUGAGUAACGCGUAAGUUAUCUACCCUCCCAUCUGGAAUAACUCACCGAAAGGUGUGCUAAUACCGGAUACGUUGGAAACAAGAAAGGUGGCCUCUAUUUAUAAGCUACCGUGGGGGGAUGAGCUUGCGUACCAUUAGCUAGUUGGUAGGGUAAUGGCCUACCAAGGCAACGAUGGUUAGCGGGUCUGAGAGGAUGAUCCGCCACACUGGAACUGGAACACGGACCAGACUCCUACGGGAGGCAGCAGUGAGGAAUAUUGCGCAAUGGGGGAAACCCUGACGCAGCGACGCCGCGUGGAUGAUGAAGGCCCUUGGGUCGUAAAAUCCUGUCAGAUGGAAAGAAAUGCUAUUAUGCUAAUAUCAUAGUAGUUUGACGGUACCAUCAAAGGAAGCACCGGCUAACUCCGUGCCAGCAGCCGCGGUAAUACGGAGGGUGCAAGCGUUGUUCGGAAUUACUGGGCGUAAAGCGCGCGUAGGUGGCUUUUUAA
rnacentral:rRNA from 1 species